UACGUAGGCAGCAAGCGUUGUUCGGAGUUACUGGGCGUAAAGGGUGCGUAGGCGGCCUUAUAAGUAUGGUGUGAAAUCUCCCGGCUUAACUGGGAGGGUGCGCUAUAGACUGUGGGGCUAGAGUGUGGGAGAGGAAAGUGGAAUUCCUGGUGUAGCGGUGAAAUGCGUAGAUAUCAGGAGGAACACCGGUGGUGUAAACGGCUUUCUGGACCGUAACUGACGCUGGAGAACACGAAAGCGUGGGUAGCAAACAGG
rnacentral:rRNA from 1 species